rnacentral:rRNA from 1 species
GAUGAACGCUGGCGGCGUGCCUAAUACAUGCCAGUCGAGCGAACGGACGAGAAGCUUGCUUCUCUGAUGUUAGCGGCGGACGGGUGAGUAACACGUGGAUAACCUACCUAUAAGACUGGGAUAACUUCGGGAAACCGGAGCUAAUACCGGAUGAUAUUUUGAACCGCAUGGUUCAAAAGUGAAAGACGGUCUUGCUGUCACUUAUAGAUGGAUCCGCGCUGCAUUAGCUAGUUGGUAAGGUAACGGCUUACCAAGGCAACGAUGCAUAGCCGACCUGAGAGAGUGAUCGACCACCCUAGAACUGAGACACGGUCCAGACUCCUACGGGAGGCAGCAGUAGGGAAUCUUCCGCAGUGGGCGAAAGCAUGACGGAGCAACGCCGCGUGAGUGAUGAAGGUCUUCGGAUCGUAAAACUCUGUUAUUAGGGAAGAACAGAUGUGUAAGUAACUGUGCACAUCUUGACGGUACCUAAUCAGAAAGCCACGGCUAACUACGUG